rnacentral:rRNA from 1 species
GACGAACGCUGGCGGCGUGCUUAACACAUGCAAGUCGAACGGAAAGGCCCUGCUUUUGUGGGGUGCUCGAGUGGCGAACGGGUGAGUAACACGUGAGUAACCUGCCCUUGACUUUGGGAUAACUUCAGGAAACUGGGGCUAAUACCGGAUAGGAGCUCCUGCUGCAUGGUGGGGGUUGGAAAGUUUCGGCGGUUGGGGAUGGACUCGCGGCUUAUCAGCUUGUUGGUGGGGUAGUGGCUUACCAAGGCUUUGACGGGUAGCCGGCCUGAGAGGGUGACCGGGCACAUUGGGACUGAGAUACGGCCCAGACUCCUACGGGAGGCAGCGGUGGGGAAUAUUGCAGAAUGGGCGGAAGCCUGAUGCAGCAACGCCGCGUGCGGGAUAACGGCCUUCGGGUUGUAAACCGCUUUCGCCUGUGACGAAGCGUGAGUGACGGUAAUGGGUAAAGAAGCACCGGCUAACUACGUG